rnacentral:rRNA from 1 species
UUAUGAAUAAGGAUCGGCUAACUCCGUGCCAGCAGCCGCGGUAAUACGGAGGAUCCGAGCGUUAUCCGGAUUUAUUGGGUUUAAAGGGAGCGUAGAUGGAUGUUUAAGUCAGUUGUGAAAGUUUGCGGCUCAACCGUAAAAUUGCAGUUGAUACUGGAUGUCUUGAGUGCAGUUGAGGCAGGCGGAAUUCGUGGUGUAGCGGUGAAAUGCUUAGAUAUCACGAAGAACUCCGAUUGCGAAGGCAGCCUGCUAAGCUGCAACUGACAUUGAGGCUCGAAAGUGUGGGUAUCAAACAGGAUUAGAUACCCUGGUAGUCCACACGGUAAACGAUGAAUACUCGCUGUUUGCGAUAUACUGCAAGCGGCCAAGCGAAAGCGUUAAGUAUUCCACCUGGGGAGUACGCCGGCAACGGUGAAACUCAAAGGAAUUGACGGGGGCCCGCACAAGCGGAGGAACAUGUGGUUUAAUUCGAUGAUACGCGAGGAACCUUACCCGGGCUUAAAUUGCACUCGAAUGAUCCGGAAACGGUUCAGCUAGCAAUAGCGAGUGUGAAGGUGCUGCAUGGUUGUCGUCAGCUCGUGCCGUGAGGUGUCGGCUUAAGUGCCAUAACGAGCGCAACCCUUGUUGUCAGUUACUAACAGGUGAUGCUGAGGACUCUGACAAGACUGCCAUCGUAAGAUGUGAGGAAGGUGGGGAUGACGUCAAAUCAGCACGGCCCUUACGUCCGGGGCUACACACGUGUUACAAUGGGGGGUACAGAGGGCCGCUACCACGCGAGUGGAUGCCAAUCCCUAAAACCCCUCUCAGUUCGGACUGGAGUCUGCAACCCGACUCCACGAAGCUGGAUUCGCUAGUAAUCGCGCAUCAGCCACGGCGCGGUGAAUACGUUCCCGGGCCUUGUACACACCGCCCGUCAAGCCAUGGGAGCCGGGGGUACCUGAAGUGCGUAACCGCGAGGAGCGCCCUAGGGUAAAACUGGUGACUGGGGCUAAGUCGUAACAAGGUAGCCGUACCGGAAGGUGCGGCUG